rnacentral:rRNA from 1 species
GAUGAACGCUAGCGGGAGGCCUAAUACAUGCAAGUCGAGCGGUAGAGUGACUUCGGUUGCUUGAGAGCGGCGAACGGGUGAGUAACGCGUACACAAUCUACCUUUAAGAGGGGAAUAGCCCUGGGAAACUGGGAUUAAUGCCCCAUGGCAUCACGAAGUGGCAUCGCUUUGUGAUUAAAGCUGAGGUGCUUAGAGAUGAGUGUGCGUCUGAUUAGCUAGUUGGUGCGGUAACGGCGCACCAAGGCGACGAUCAGUAGGGGGCGUGAGAGCGUGGACCCCCACACGGGUACUGAGACACGGACCCGACUCCUACGGGAGGCAGCAGUAAGGAAUAUUGGUCAAUGGAGGAAACUCUGAACCAGCCAUCCCGCGUGCAGGAAGAAUGCCCUAUGGGUUGUAAACUGCUUUUAUCUGGGAAGAAAAGUCGGCAUUUAUGCUGAUCUGACGGUACCAGAGGAAUAAGCACCGGCUAACUCCGUGCCAGCA